rnacentral:rRNA from 1 species
GACGAACGCUGGCGGCGUGCUUAACACAUGCAAGUCGAGCGGAAAGGCCACUUCGGUGGUACUCGAGCGGCGAACGGGUGAAUAACACGUGAGUAAUCUGCCCCUCACUUUGGGAUAGCCACCGGAAACGGUGAUUAAUACCGGAUAUGACCAUAUGUCGCAUGGCGUGUGGUGGAAAGUUUUUCGGUGAGGGAUGUGCUCGCGGCCUAUCAGCUUGAUGGGGAGGUAAUGGCUCACCAUGGCUUCGACGGGUAGCCGGCCUGAGAGGGUGACCGGUCACACUGGGACUGAGACACGGCCCAGACUCCUACGGGAGGCAGCAGUGGGGAAUAUUGGACAAUGGGCGGAAGCCUGAUCCAGCAACGCCGCGUGAGGGAUGACGGCCUUCGGGUUGUAAACCUCUUUCAGUACCGACGAAGCGCAAGUGACGGUAGGUACAGAAGAAGCACCGGCCAACUACGU